UGCGAAGUAGAGCAGCGGUAGCUCGUCGGGCUCAUAACCCGAAGGUCACAAGUUCGAUCCUUGUCUUCGCAA
rnacentral:tRNA from 5 species